rnacentral:rRNA from 1 species
GACGAACGCUGGCGGCGUGCUUAACACAUGCAAGUCGAACGGAAAGGCCCUGCUUUUGUGGGGUGCUCGAGUGGCGAACGGGUGAGUAACACGUGAGUAACCUGCCCUUGACUUUGGGAUAACUUCAGGAAACUGGGGCUAAUACCGGAUAGGAGCUCCUGCUGCAUGGUGGGGGUUGGAAAGUUUCGGCGGUUGGGGAUGGACUCGCGGCUUAUCAGCUUGUUGGUGGGGUAGUGGCUUACCAAGGCUUUGACGGGUAGCCGGCCUGAGAGGGUGACCGGCCCAAGUGUGACGGAGAUGCGGCGCCGGCUGCGAGGAGAGGCAGAAGUGGAGAAUAGUACACAGUGGGCGACAGUCUGAUGCAGCGACGCCGCGCGCGUGAGGACGGCCGUCGGGUUGGAAGCCGCUUUCGACUGUGGCGAAGCGUGAGAUACGGUAAGGGGAAACGACGCACCGGCUACCGACGUGCCAUCGGCAGGGGUAAUAGCUCGUAAGCACACAGUCUGAUC